rnacentral:rRNA from 1 species
UUGAACGCUGGCGGCAUGCUUUACACAUGCACGUCGAACGGUAACAGGCCUUCGGGUGCUGACGAGUGGCGAACGGGUGAGUAAUGCAUCGGAACGUGCCCAGAGGUGGGGGAUAACGCAGCGAAAGCUGUGCUAAUACCGCAUGUGAUCUGAGGAUGAAAGCGGGGGACCAGGCAGCAAUGUUUGGCCUCGCGCCUUUGGAGCGGCCGAUGUCAGAUUAGGUAGUUGGUGGGGUAAAGGCCUACCAAGCCGACGAUCUGUAGCUGGUCUGAGAGGACGACCAGCCACACUGGGACUGAGACACGGCCCAGACUCCUACGGGAGGCAGCAGUGGGGAAUUUUGGACAAUGGGCGCAAGCCUGAUCCAGCAAUGCCGCGUGCGGGAAGAAGGCCUUCGGGUUGUAAACCGCUUUUGUACGGAACGAAAAGGCUCUGGCUAAUACCUGGGGCUGAUGACGGUACCGUAAGAAUAAGCACCGGCUAACUACGUG